GGCAAAGGCUGUGGAGUAGAUAGUAACAAGGUGGUCUACAAACCAGGGCAAGCCCUUCUCUAGACGUCAACCCUGUCUGUACAUCUUGAAUUGCUCACCUCAAGACUGUGAAGAAAUAAACACCCACUGUAUAAGCCUCUCAGCCUGUGGCAUUUUGGGGUGUCAGCCUGAGUUGACUAAGACACCUGGAAAUGCUCAAAUAGAAGGCUCAGAAGUUAGUGUGGAGGGCAUCGAGAUGUUGUCUAAUGGCUGGCUAAUCUUCUUGGACUUCAGAAUCUUUCAUUUCUAAAAGGAGCUCUAUAAACAACGUUCAGCCUGGCAAAGCAAAAAGAGUGUCUUCUUUGAUCCUUGGUUAAGAUUCUGAAGUGGGUAAGAGUCUGCCAUGACAGAGGACUUCAUUGCAGGAAGGCCCAGGCUGUCAUCAUGGCAGUAGCUAGGCAUUCAAAAGGAACCCCAUGCUGGUUAGUUUUGAUUGUCAACCCAAUGCAACUGAGUACCAUCUGGCAAGAGUCUUAAGAGUUAUGGCCAAUGGACAUAUCAGUAGGUGAUUGUCUAGAUUGUUAAUUGAUAUAGGAAGAUCCAGCUCACUGUAGGCAAUUCCACCAUCUGGCAAGAGUCUUAAGAGUUAAGGCCAAUGGACAUAUCAGUAGGUGAUAGUCUAGAUUGUUAAUUGAUAUAGGAAGAUCCAGCUCACUGUAGGCAAUUCAUUCUCUAGGCAGGAGGUCCAGAACUGUCUAAGAGGAGAAAUAGAGCUGACAGCAAGCAAGGAUCCAUGUGUUUAUUCUCUUUGUCCCUUGAUUGUGGAUGUGGUACUUUGAGUUUUUGCCUUGAUGGCCCCAAAAUAAUGGACUGUAACCUUGGGUUGUAAGUUAAACAAACUCUUUCUUUCACAGGUUGACUUUGGUAAGGGUAUUUUUAUUUAUUUAUUUAUUUAUUUAUUUAUUUAUUUAUUUAUUUAUUUAUUUAUUUAUUUAUUUAUUUAUUUAUUUAUUUAUUUAUUUAUUUAUUUAUUUAUUUAUUUAUUUAUUUAUUUAUUUAUUUAUUUAUUUAUUUAUUUAUUUAUUUAUUUAUUUAUUUAUUUAUUUAUUUAUUUAUUUAUUUUUAAAGGUUUUCUUUAUUUAUUAUGUAUACAACAUUCUGCUUCCAUGUAUAUCUGCACACCAGAAGAGGGCACCAGAUCUCAUAACGGAUGGUUGUGAGCCACCAUGUGGUUGCCGAGAAUUGAACUCAGGACCUCUGGAAGAACAGUCAGUGCUCUUAACUGCUGAGCCAUCUCUCUGGCCCCGGCAAGGCUUCUCCAUGUUCCCCCAAUGUUAGGAAGAGGUGCAUGUACCACACAAUGGGCCACCAAACGGAUUCACAGCAAAGCUGGAUGUUGGAAUAGCUUCAGACCAUCAACCCAGACUUGGAAAUUUCAAAAGCCACACAGGCAAG
ensembl:lincRNA